CAGCAGCCGCGGUAAUACAGAGGGUGCGAGCGUUAAUCGGAUUUACUGGGCGUAAAGCGUGCGUAGGCGGCUUUUUAAGUCGGAUGUGAAAUCCCUGAGCUUAACUUAGGAAUUGCAUUCGAUACUGGGAAGCUAGAGUAUGGGAGAGGAUGGUAGAAUUCCAGGUGUAGCGGUGAAAUGCGUAGAGAUCUGGAGGAAUACCGAUGGCGAAGGCAGCCAUUUGGCCUAAUACUGACGCUGAGGUACGAAAGCAUGGGGAGCAAACAGGAUUAGAUACCCCCGUAGUCCCUGUCUCUUAUAC
rnacentral:rRNA from 1 species